rnacentral:rRNA from 1 species
UUGGAGGGCAAGUCUGGUGCCAGCAGCCGCGGUAAUUCCAGCUCCAAUAGCGUAUAUUAAAGUUGUUGCAGUUAAAAAGCUCGUAGUUGAAUUUCGAGAUCAAUUUGUCGGUCGUGCCUCGGUACGUACUGGCAUUAUUGAUUUCUCCCUUCUGAAGAACCGCGAUGUCAUUAAUUUGGUGUCGUGGGGAAUCAGGACUGUUACUUUGAAAAAAUUAGAGUGUUUAAAGCAGGCGCACGUUUGAAUACAUUAGCAUGGAAUAAUGAAAUAGGACGUUUGAUUCUAUUUUGUUGGUUUCUAGGAUCGACGUAAUGAUUAAUAGGGAUAGUUGGGGGCAUUAGUAUUCAAUUGUCAGAGGUGAAAUUCUUGGAUUUAUUGAAGACUAACUACUGCGAAAGCAUUUGCCAAGGAUGUUUUCAUUAAUCAAGAACGAAAGUUAGGGGAUCGAAGACGAUCAGAUACCGUCGUAGUCUUAACCAUAAACUAUGCCGACUAGGGAUCGGAUGAUGUUAAUUUUUUAAUGACUCAUUCGGCGCCUUACGGGAAAC